CGCAAACUACUUAGGCGGAGUUGGAAAAGCAUCUAUAAUAUGUAGAAUUUAUUUUUGUCAGAUGCAUGUGACAUGUCAAAGGAAAAAAAAAAAAGUCUUUCAAACUAUUUGCUAUAGUUCGUGAAAUGUAUUUUCCAGUUUAAAAUAUUUCUUUUAAUAUAUGGGAUAAUUUUCUUGAGUUUGGAGAAAGAUUAAUGUGUUGUACUAUUUUCAUAGAUGUUGGAAUAGGAUUUUGGAUGUUUGUGAACCAUAUAACGAUCUAUUAAUUCAUUUAUUAAUGUUUCAAAAUACAAGUUCAAGUUUGAAAUGCUGCUUUCAGCAUAUUGUGGUUUCUUUUCUUUUUCCCCCCUUUUUCUUGACUGGGUGGGGCCUGUUUAUUCAAUGCACUAUUUCAUCCACGAUGCUGCAUUUGAGAGUUUGACGCUUCACUUUGAAAUGCUGUAUUGGAGUUGCUCUGUAUUCAAGGUUAAUGGGUUGUGCUUUCAAAUAUUGUUUCGAAAUGUGUACAAACCUGUGGUAAGGUAAUCUAGUAUAAUUUUUUUAACUAAUUGGGGAUGUUUGGUAGGAGGUUAACAAGGAGUAAUUAUUA
rnacentral:misc_RNA from 1 species